AGCGAACGCUGGCGGCAGGCUUAACACAUGCAAGUCGAGCGGGCCUUUCGGGGUCAGCGGCGGACGGGUGAGUAACGCGUGGUAACGUGCCCUCUGGUUCGGAAUAACUCAGGGAAACUUGAGCUAAUACCGGAUACGCCCUUUUGGGGAAAGGCUUGCUGCCGGAGGAUCGGCCCGCGUCUGAUUAGCUUGUUGGUGAGGUAACGGCUCACCAAGGCGACGAUCAGUAGCUGGUCUGAGAGGAUGAUCAGCCACACUGGGACUGAGACACGGCCCAGACUCGUACGGGAGGGAGGAGGGGGGAAUAUUGGAAAAUGGGCGCAAGCCUGAUCCAGCCAUGACGCGUGAGUGAUGAAGGCCUUAGGGUUGUAAAGCUCUUUUAUCCGGGACGAUAAUGACGGUACCGGAGGAAUAAGCCCCGGCUAACUUCGUG
rnacentral:rRNA from 1 species